UCCGGUUUGUCACCGGCAGUCUCAUUAGAGUGCUCAACUGAAUGUAGCAACUAAUGACAAGGGUUGCGCUCGUUGCGGGACUUAACCCAACAUCUCACGACACGAGCUGACGACAGCCAUGCAGCACCCGUGUCCAGGUUCCCUUUCGGGCACCGCUGCAUUUCUGCAGCGUUCCUGGCAUGUCAAGGGUAGGUAAGGUGGGGAUGACGUCGUACACCUGAAC
rnacentral:misc_RNA from 1 species